AAAAGCACCCCGGAAGGGGAGUGAAAUAGAACCUGAAACCGUGUGCUUACAAGUAGUCAGAGCCCGUUAAUGGGUGAUGGCGUGCCUUUUGUAGAAUGAACCGGCGAGUUACGAUUUGAUGCAAGGUUAAGCAGUAAAUGUGGAGCCGUAGCGAAAGCGAGUCUGAAUAGGGCGUUUAGUAUUUGGUCGUAGACCCGAAACCAGGUGAUCUACCCUUGGUCAGGUUGAAGUUCAGGUAACACUGAAUGGAGGACCGAACCGACUUACGUUGAAAAGUGAGCGGAUGAACUGAGGGUAGCGGAGAAAUUCCAAUCGAACCUGGAGAUAGCUGGUUCUCUCCGAAAUAGCUUUAGGGCUAGCCUCAAGUGAUGAUUAUUGGAGGUAGAGCACUGUUUGGACGAGGGGCCCCUCUCGGGUUACCGAAUUCAGACAAACUCCGAAUGCCAAUUAAUUUAACUUGGGAGUCAGAACAUGGGUGAUAAGGUCCGUGUUCGAAAGGGAAACAGCCCAGACCACCAGCUAAGGUCCCAAAAUAUAUGUUAAGUGGAAAAGGAUGUGGCGUUGCCCAGACAACUAGGAUGUUGGCUUAGAAGCAGCCAUCAUUUAAAGAGUGCGUAAUAGCUCACUAGUCGAGUGACACUGCGCCGAAAAUGUACCGGGGCUAAACAUAUUACCGAAGCUGUGGAUUGUCCUUUGGACAAUGGUAGGAGAGCGUUCUAAGGGCGUUGAAGCAUGAUCGUAAGGACAUGUGGAGCGCUUAGAAGUGAGAAUGCCGGUGUGAGUAGCGAAAGACGGGUGAGAAUCCCGUCCACCGAUUGACUAAGGUUUCCAGAGGAAGGCUCGUCCGCUCUGGGUUAGUCGGGUCCUAAGCUGAGGCCGACAGGCGUAGGCGAUGGAUAACAGGUUGAUAUUCCUGUACCACCUAUAAUCGUUUUAAUCGAUGGGGGGACGCAGUAGGAUAGGCGAAGCGUGCGAUUGGAUUGCACGUCUAAGCAGUAAGGCUGAGUAUUAGGCAAAUCCGGUACUCGUUAAGGCUGAGCUGUGAUGGGGAGAAGACAUUGUGUCUUCGAGUCGUUGAUUUCACACUGCCGAGAAAAGCCUCUAGAUAGAAAAUAGGUGCCCGUACCGCAAACCGACACAGGUAGUCAAGAUGAGAAUUCUAAGGUGAGCGAGCGAACUCUCGUUAAGGAACUCGGCAAAAUGACCCCGUAACUUCGGGAGAAGGGGUGCUCUUUAGGGUUAACGCCCAGAAGAGCCGCAGUGAAUAGGCCCAAGCGACUGUUUAUCAAAAACACAGGUCUCUGCUAAACCGUAAGGUGAUGUAUAGGGGCUGACGCCUGCCCGGUGCUGGAAGGUUAAGAGGAGUGGUUAGCUUCUGCGAAGCUACGAAUCGAAGCCCCAGUAAACGGCGGCCGUAACUAUAACGGUCCUAAGGUAGCGAAAUUCCUUGUCGGGUAAGUUCCGACCCGCACGAAAGGCGUAACGAUUUGGGCACUGUCUCAACGAGAGACUCGGUGAAAUCAUAGUACCUGUGAAGAUGCAGGUUACCCGCGACAGGACGGAAAGACCCCGUGGAGCUUUACUGUAGCCUGAUAUUGAAAUUCGGCACAGCUUGUACAGGAUAGGUAGGAGCCUUUGAAACGUGAGCGCUAGCUUACGUGGAGGCGCUGGUGGGAUACUACCCUAGCUGUGUUGGCUUUCUAACCCGCACCACUUAUCGUGGUGGGAGACAGUGUCAGGCGGGCAGUUUGACUGGGGCGGUCGCCUCCUAAAAGGUAACGGAGGCGCUCAAAGGGUCCCUCAGAAUGGUUGGAAAUCAUUCAUAGAGUGUAAAGGCAUAAGGGAGCUUGACUGCGAGACCUACAAGUCGAGCAGGGUCGAAAGACGGACUUAGUGAUCCGGUGGUUCCGCAUGGAAGGGCCAUCGCUCAACGGAUAAAAGCUACCCCGGGGAUAACAGGCUUAUCUCCCCCAAGAGUUCACAUCGACGGGGAGGUUUGGCACCUCGAUGUCGGCUCAUCGCAUCCUGGGGCUGUAGUCGGUCCCAAGGGUUGGGCUGUUCGCCCAUUAAAGCGGUACGCGAGCUGGGUUCAGAACGUCGUGAGACAGUUCGGUCCCUAUCCGUCGUGGGCGUAGGAAAUUUGAGAGGAGCUGUCCUUAGUACGAGAGGACCGGGAUGGACAUACCUCUGGUGUACCAGUUGUCGUGCCAACGGCAUAGCUGGGUAGCUAUGUGUGGACGGGAUAAGUGCUGAAAGCAUCUAAGCAUGAAGCCCCCCUCAAGAUGAGAUUUCCCAACUUCGGUUAUAAGAUCCCUCAAAGAUGAUGAGGUUAAUAGGUUCGAGGUGGAAGCAUGGUGACAUGUGGAGCUGACGAAUACUAAUCGAUCGAAGACUUAAUCAA
rnacentral:rRNA from 1 species